rnacentral:rRNA from 1 species
AUGGCUCCUUGAAAGUUAAAUAAGGGGUUAGACCUGCACACUGAGGCAUUAAAGAGCUGCGGUAUUUUGACCGUACAAAGGUAGCAAAAUCACUAGUCUUUUAAUUGAAGACGAGGAUGAAAGGUUGUUCGAGGAAGUUCUAUUAAGGGGUUUGUAAUUUGAAUUUAUCAUUUUUGUGAAAAGACAAAAAUAAAAGUAAGGGACAAGAAGACCCUUUCAAGUUUAAUUUAUUAUUAAAGUUUUGUUAAUUUAUUAAAUAAAAUGAGGUUUAAUAAUAUGUUUUGCUGGGGCGGCAGGUAAGAGAACAAUAUUUUUAUAAAUGAAGAUAUUUAGCUAAAAUAGGAGCUUUAAGGAAGACUAUAAGAAUAAACUACUAAAGGGAUAACAGCGGAAUAUUACUUAAUAGUUCUUAUUGACAGUAAUGUUUGCGA